CACAAACAUAGUACAGCCCACAGGGUGUUACAAAACAACCAAUCAAUCCGUACAAUACACCCAGACACUCCCACACAAAAUCCUCCCCUCUGCCUGUGAUAUGAUUACUGAACACAAUGGGUAAUCUCAUUAUCACCGGCAGAGGAAUACAGUUUUUACACAAUAUUUAUAACUUCUAAAAUAUACAUGUCACAAACAUAAAACAUACAUUUUCAUAAUCAAUCCAUUCAGGGGAACAACAUAUUAAAAAAUGGCACGAAUCAGACCAGGGGUUCAAAAGUUAAGGGAA